UCGGAGGUGGGCCGUCAGCGCCCUGUGG
rnacentral:sRNA from 1 species